UACAGAGGGUGCGAGCGUUGUUCGGAAUUAUUGGGCGUAAAAGCGCUUGUAGGCGGCACGUCAAGUCGCGUGUGAAAUCCCCCAGGCUUAACCUGGGAAGUGCGCGCGAAACUGACGAGCUUGAGUGCCGGAGAGGGUCGCGGAAUUCCCGGUGUAGAGGUGAAAUUCGUAGAUAUCGGGAGGAACACCAGUGGCGAAGGCGGCGACCUGGACGGACACUGACGCUGAGACGCGAAAGCGUGGGGAGCAAACAGG
rnacentral:rRNA from 1 species